rnacentral:rRNA from 1 species
GACGAACGCUGGCGGCGUGCCUAAUACAUGCAAGUAGAACGCUGAAGAGAGGAGCUUGCUCUUCUUGGAUGAGUUGCGAACGGGUGAGUAACGCGUAGGUAACCUGCCUGGUAGCGGGGGAUAACUAUUGGAAACGAUAGCUAAUACCGCAUAAAAUUGAUUAUUGCAUGAUAAUUAAUUGAAAGAUGCAAUUGCAUCACUACCAGAUGGACCUGCGUUGUACUAGCUAGUUGGUGAGGUAACGGCUCACCAAGGCGACGAUACAUAGCCGACCUGAGAGGGUGAUCGGCCACACUGGGACUGAGACACGGCCCAGACUCCUACGGGAGGCAGCAGUAGGGAAUCUUCGGCAAUGGGGGGAACCCUGACCGAGCAACGCCGCGUG